CAGCACGAGUAGUGGUCCUUUUAUUGAGCCUAAAGCGUUCGUAGCCGGUUUUGUAAAUCUUCAGAUAAAGCCUGAAGCUUAACUCCAGAAAGUCUGAAGAGACUGCAAGACUUGAGAUCGGGUGAGGUUAAACGUACUUUCAGGGUAGGGGUAAAAUCCUGUAAUCCCGGAAGGACGACCAGUGGCGAAAGCGUUUAACUAGGACGAAUCUGACGGUAAGGAACGAAGGCUAGGGUAGCAAACCGGAUUAGAUACCCGGGUAGUCCUAGCUGUAAACAUUGCCCAUUUGAUGUUGCUUUUCCGUUGAGGGAAGGCAGUGUCGGAGCGAAGGUGUUAAAUGGGCCGCUUGGGAAGUAUGGUCGCAAGACUGAAACUUAAAGGAAUUGGCGGGGGAGCACCGCAACGGGAGGAAUGUGCGGUUUAAUUGGAUUCAACGCCGGAAAACUCACCGGGAACGACCUGUGCAUGAGAGUCAACCUGACGAGCUUACUCGAUAGCAGGAGAGGUGGUGCAUGGCCGUCGUCAGCUCGUACCGUAGGGCGUUCACUUAAGUGUGAUAACGAGCGAGACCCACAUCUUUAAUUGCAAAUGUAUAUGAGAAUAUGCAUGCACUUUAGA
rnacentral:rRNA from 1 species